GUCAAUGGUGGCGCUGGUGGGGCAGCCUUCGGGCUGGCCGGUUUCCAGUAACGCCGGUAUUGCUACCCCCGCCAGCGUCACCGCCCCU
rfam:Pantoea stewartii subsp. stewartii DC283 WGS_Sequence30, whole genome shotgun sequence.